rnacentral:rRNA from 1 species
AACGAACGCUGGCGGCAUGCCUAACACAUGCAAGUCGAACGAGACCUUCGGGUCUAGUGGCGCACGGGUGCGUAACGCGUGGGACCUGCCCCUAGGUUCGGAAUUACCUCCCGAAAGGGGUGCUAAUUCCGGAUAAUGUCUUCGGACCAAAGAUUUAUCGCCUUUGGAUGGGCCCGCGUUGGAUUAGCUAGUUGGUAGGGUAAAAGCCUACCAAGGCGACGAUCCAUAGCUGGUCUGAGAGGAUGAUCAGCCACACUGGGACUGAGACACGGCCCAGACUCCUACGGGAAGCAGCAGUGGGGAAUAUUGGACAAUGGGCGAAAGCCUGAUCCAGCAAUGCCGCGUGAGUGAUGAAGGCCUUAGGGUUGUAAAGCUCUUUUACCCGGGAUGAUAAUGACAGUACCGGGAGAAUAAGCGCCGGCUAACUCCGUG